CCAGCAUUAGCGCCCCGCCCCGCCUCGCCGCCGUCGCCCCGUCCUUCAACGAUCGCUUUUUUGGCGCCAGGACGGCGGCAUCGCGAUGUAUAUCCUCGUCGCGCACCCCGGCCCCACAUCGCGUUCCCGCCUCUUCCUUCCUUCCCCUCCCUCCACCACCACCUCCUCCACUACCACCUCCACCACCACCACCUCACCUCCCUCCACCCCUCCACUAAU
rnacentral:lncRNA from 1 species